CACAUCAUUUUUCAAUUAAAGAUAAAAAAAAUUUAAAUUUUUUUUUCUAAAACAAACCUCCCCCUCCCGUCCUUGCCCUUUCUCUCUUCCGUCAUUAAUCUCUUCUCUCUCUUUUCAAAUCCCUCCAUCGCUAAAAAAAUUCACCAAGUGCUAACAUGGUGAUACGAAAAAGUCUCAAAAUUUCACCAACUACAAUUUUUUCUCUAUAAUCCCUUUUUGGGUUUCAAUUUUGAAUUAUAGAGAAAAAAAUUGUAGUUUAGUGGAAUUUUUUUGGUGGAAUUAAGCGAAUGUUGGUGUUUUAUGGGAGGUUUGGAGCUGAUAUAAUUGGAAAAAUUGAAUUUGGAUAAAAAUUAGAUUGUCGUCAUCAUCGACGGCUGCAGUGGCGGUGGUGAGGUUUCUUGAAUGUCGUCCAAGAUUGAACCCUGCUGAAAUGUUUCCCGACAAAGAUGAUAAACAUGCCAUCGUUAAUGAAGUUGACUUCUUCUCUGAGAGAAAACCUAUUGUAUGUUACAUAAAUUUGUGGACUUUGAAUUUCCAUUGAUGAAACUUUAUUGCUUAAA